rnacentral:rRNA from 1 species
AUUGAACGCUGGCGGCAGGCUUAACACAUGCAAGUCGAGCGGGGAAAGGUAGCUUGCUACCUGACCUAGCGGCGGACGGGUGAGUAAUGCUUAGGAAUCUGCCUAUUAGUGGGGGACAACAUCUCGAAAGGGAUGCUAAUACCGCAUACGUCCUACGGGAGAAAGCAGGGGACCUUCGGGCCUUGCGCUAAUAGAUGAGCCUAAGUCGGAUUAGCUAGUUGGGGGGGUAAAGGCCUACCAAGGCGACGAUCUGUAGCGGGUCUGAGAGGAUGAUCCGCGACACUGGGACUGAGACACGGCCCAGGCUCCUACGGGAGGCAGCAGUGGGGAAUAUUGGACAAUGGGGGGAACCCUGAUCCAGCAAUGCAGCGUGUGUGAAGAAGGCCUUUUGGUUGUAAAGAACUUUAAGCGAGGAGGAGGCUACCGAGAUUAAUACUCUUGGAUAGUGGACGUUACUCGCAGAAUAAGCACCGGCUAACUCUGUGCCAGCCGCCGCCGUAACAC